UACGGGGGGAGCAAGCGUUGUUCGGAUUUACUGGGCGUAAAGGGCGCGUAGGCGGCCAGCACAAGUCAGUUGUGAAAUCUCCGAGCUUAACUCGGAAAGGUCAACUGAUACUGUGCGGCUAGAGUGCAGAAGGGGCAACUGGAAUUCUUGGUGUAGCGGUGAGAUGCGUAGAUAUCAAGAGGAACACCUGCGGCGAAGGCGGGUUGCUGGGCUGACACUGACGCUGAAGCGCGAAAGCUAGGGGAGCGAACGGG
rnacentral:rRNA from 1 species